rnacentral:rRNA from 1 species
AACGAACGCUGGCGGCAGGCCUAAUACAUGCAAGUCGAGCGCGCCCUUCGGGGUGAGCGGCGGACGGGUGAGUAACGCGUGGGAAUAUGCCCUUCUCUAAGGAAUAGCCUCUGGAAACGGAGAGUAAUACCUUAUACGCCCUUUGGUGGAAAGAUUUAUCGGAGAAGGAUUAGCCCGCGUUAGAUUAGGUAGUUGGUGGGGUAAUGGCCUACCAAGCCUACGAUCUAUAGCUGGUUUGAGAGGAUGAUCAGCCACACUGGGACUGAGACACGGCCCAGACUCCUACGGGAGGCAGCAGUAGGGAAUCUUAGACAAUGGGGGCAACCCUGAUCUAGCCAUGCCGCGUGUGUGAUGAAGGCCCUAGGGUCGUAAAGCACUUUCGCCAGAGAUGAUAAUGACAGUAUCUGGUAAAGAAACCCCGGCUAACUCCGUGCCAGCAGCCGCGGUAAUACGGAGGGGGUUAGCGUUGUUCGGAAUUACUGGGCGUAAAGCGCACGUAGGCGGAUUAGUAAGUUAGAGGUGAAAUCCCAGGGCUCAACCCUGGAACUGCCUUUAAUACUGCUAGUCUUGAGUUCGAGAGAGGUAAGUGGAAUUCCGAGUGUAGAGGUGAAAUUCGUA